CUUGGUCAUUUAGAGGAAGUAAAAGUCGUAACAAGGUUUCCGUAGGUGAACCUGCGGAAGGAUCAUUACUGAGUUAGGGUCUUCUAGGCCCGACCUCCAACCCUUGUGUUUAACAUACCACGUUGCUUCGGCGGGCCCGCCCCUCUGGGGGCCGCCGGGGGUUCACUGAACCUCUGGCCUGUUGCCCGUCGGUGGCCAACCAACAAACUCUUAGUGAACUGUGUUGUCUAAGUCUUAAAUCAUAAUUAAAUCAAAACUUUCAACAACGGAUCUCUUGGUUCUGGCAUCGAUGAAGAACGCAGCGAAAUGCGAUAAGUAAUGCGAAUUGCAGAAUUUCAGUGAGUCAUCGAAUCUUUGAACGCACAUUGCGCCCUUUGGUAUUCCGAAGGGCAUGCCUGUUCGAGCGUCAUUAUCACCUCUCAAGCCUGGCUUGAUGUUGGACCGGGAGUCCCGUCACACGGACUGGUCCCAAAGACAAUGACGGCGUCUGUUGGGCCCUCGGUGCAACGAGCUUUCUUUGUAAGGCACGCACGCGAGCUUAAAGGCCCUUCAGCACGGUCUUUACCUUUCUCCUCAAGGUUGACCUCGGAUCAGGUAGGAAUACCCGCUGAACUUAAGCAUAUCAAUAAGCGGAGGA
rnacentral:rRNA from 1 species